rnacentral:lncRNA from 1 species
CUGAAAGGCCGGCCAGCCGCCCUUGUGCUGUGGGAACACCUCCCUGAAUCCAGCCGGGCUGUGUGUCUGGGGCUGAGCCAGGUGCCCCCUGCUCCACGCUGGGUCCCAUGAGACAGGCAGGACCACCCUGUCCCUCGCUCCCGGGGCCGCAGCAGCCGGCUCUGCCCCCAGAGCGGAGCUGCACAGAGCUGCUGCCACGUGCAUGAGUGGAAAGCAGAGGAGAGGCCAAAGCCCAGUGCACACCUGGCAUCUGAUUCCCCAGCACCCUGCCUUCAUCUGACCCAGGUAGGCACAGCUGAGCUCGGAGCAUUGCUGUAUGUGAUGAUCACAUGUGUUUGUUGUGUUGAGUCCAGGGCUGG